rnacentral:rRNA from 1 species
GACGAACGCUGGCGGCGUGCUUAACACAUGCAAGUCGAACGGAAAGGCCCUGCUUUUGUGGGGUGCUCGAGUGGCGAACGGGUGAGUAACACGUGAGUAACCUGCCCUUGACUUUGGGAUAACUUCAGGAAACUGGGGCUAAUACCGGAUAGGAGCUCCUGCUGCAUGGUGGGGGUUGGAAAGUUUCGGCGGUUGGGGAUGGACUCGCGGCUUAUCAGCUUGUUGGUGGGGUAGUGGCUUACCAAGGCUUUGACCGGUAGCCGGCCUGAGAGGGUGACCGGCCACAUUGGGACUGAGAUACGGCCCAGACUCCUACGGGAGGCAGCAGUGGGGAAUAUUGCACAAUGGGAGGAAGCCUGAUGCAGCAACGCCGCGUGCGGGAUGACGGCCUUCGGGUUGUAAACCGCUUUCGCCUGUGACGAAGCGUGAGUGACGGUAAUGGGUAAAGAAGCACCGGCUAACUACGUG